UCCCCGAUAGCUCAGUAGGUAGAGCGAGUGACUGUUAAUCACUUGGUCGCUGGUUCGAGUCCGGCUCGGGGAGCCA
rnacentral:tRNA from 1 species